CCAGACUCCUACGGGAGGCAGCAGUGGGGAAUAUUGCACAAUGGGGGAAACCCUGAUGCAGCGACGCCGCGUGAGGGAAGAAGGUUUUCGGAUUGUAAACCUCUGUCCUUGGUGACGAAAGAAGACGGUAGCCAAGGAGGAAGCCACGGCUAACUACGUGCCAGCAGCCGCGGUAAUACGUAGGGGGCGAGCGUUAUCCGGAUUCACUGGGUGUAAAGAGUUGCGUAGGUGGCAUAAUAAGUAGCUAGUGAAAUCUGGUGGCUCAACCAUUCAGACUAUUAGCUAAACUGUUAAGCUCGAGACCGUUAGGGGUAACUGGAAUUUCUAGUGUAGGAGUGAAAUCCGUAGAUAUUAGAAGGAACACCAAUAGCGUAGGCAGGUUGCUGGGACGGUUCUGACACUAAGGCACGAAAGCGUAGGGAGCAAACGGGAUUAGAUACCCGGGUA
rnacentral:rRNA from 1 species